AAGCGAGCGUACACAGGUGCUGCAUGGCUGUCGUCAGCUCGUGUCGUGAGAUGUUGGGUUAAGUCCCGCAACGAGCGCAACCCUUGCCUUUAGUUGCCAGCAGUUCGGCUGGGCACUCUAAAGGGACUGCCGGUGUUAAACCGGAGGAAGGUGGGGAUGACGUCAAGUCCUCAUGGCCUUUAUGACCAGGGCUACACACGUACUACAAUGGCCGAUACAAAGGGCAGCGACACUGCGAGGUGAAGCCAAUCCCGUAAAAUCGGUCUCAGUCCGGAUUGGAGUCUGCAACUCGACUCCAUGAAGUUGGAAUCGCUAGUAAUCGUGGAUCAGCAUGCCACGGUGAAUACGUUCCCGGGCCUU
rnacentral:rRNA from 1 species